AGUCGAACGGUAACAGGUCUUCGGAUGCUGACGAGUGGCGAACGGGUGAGUAAUACAUCGGAACGUGCCCGAUCGUGGGGGAUAACGCAGCGAAAGCUGUGCUAAUACCGCAUACGAUCUAAGGAUGAAAGUGGGGGAUCGCAAGACCUCACGCUCCUGGAGCGGCCGAUAUCUGAUUAGCUAGUUGGUAGGGUAAAAGCCUACCAAGGCAUCGAUCAGUAGCUGGUCUGAGAGGACGACCAGCCACACUGGGACUGAGACACGGCCCAGACUCCUACGGGAGGCAGCAGUGGGGAAUUUUGGACAAUGGGCGCAAGCCUGAUCCAGCAAUGCCGCGUGAGUGAUGGAGGCCUUAGGGUUGUAAAGCUCUUUUACCAGGGAUGAUAAUGACAGUACCUGAAGAAUAAGCACCGGCUAACUACGUGCCAGCAGCCGCGGUAAUACGUAGGGUGCGAGCGUUGUCCGGAAUUACUGGGCGUAAAGAGCUCGUAGGCGGUUUGUCGCGUCGUCUGUGAAAUUCUGCAACUCAAUUGCAGGCGUGCAGGCGAUACGGGCAGACUUGAGUACUACAGGGGAGACUGGAAUUCCUGGUGUAGCGGUGAAAUGCGCAGAUAUCAGGAGGAACACCGGUGGCGAAGGCGGGUCUCUGGGUAGUAACUGACGCUGAGGAGCGAAAGCGUGGGUAGCGAACAGGAUUAGAUACCCUGGUAGUCCACGCCGUAAACGGUGGGUACUAGGUGUGGGUUCCAUUUCACGGGAUCCGUGCCGUAGCUAACGCAUUAA
rnacentral:rRNA from 1 species